UACGAAGGGUGCAAACGUUGCUCGGAAUUAUUGGGCGUAAAGCGCACGUAGGCGGCUUUUCAAGUCCCAUGUGAAAGCCCACGGCUUAACCGUGGAAGUGCAUGGGAAACUGGAAAGCUUGAGUACUUAAGAGGAUCGCGGAAUUCCCGGUGUAGAGGUGAAAUUCGUAGAUAUCGGGAGGAACACCAGUGGCGAAGGCGGCGAUCUGGGAAGAUACUGACGCUGAGGUGCGAAAGCGUGGGAGCAACAGG
rnacentral:rRNA from 1 species